rnacentral:misc_RNA from 1 species
GAUGAAGAACGCAGCGAAAUGCGAUAGGUAAUGUGAAUUGCAGAAUUCAGUGAAUCAUCGAAUCUUUGAACGCACAUUGCGCCCGCCAGUAUUCUGGCGGGCAUGCCUGUUCGAGCGUCAUUUCAACCAUCAAGCCCCCGGCUUGUGUUGGGGACCUGCGGCUGCCGCAGGCCCUGAAAUGCAGUGGCGGGCUCGCUGUCACUCCGAGCGUAGUAGUUACAUCUCGCUCUGGGCGUGCUGCGGGUUCCGGCCGUUAAAAGCCUUAUUUACCCAAGGUUGACCUCGGAUCAGGUAGGAAGACCCGCUGAACUUAAGCAUAUCAAUAAGCGGAGGA